GCUUACUUUUUUUUCUAAAAUUUUGAAUAUCAUAUUCAUAUUGGGUAGGAUUAUUUUCUUACCUGAAUUUAUUGACGUUGAUGUUUAUGUUAAAGGUAGACAUUGCUAUAAACUUAGUUUCCUUUUCGUACUUUUAAAUAAAAUUGACGGCUUACAGUUAUUUGCGUGGCCACCCCAUAACGGUUUGCA